CCCUAGCCCUGAUGGGAGCGGCAUCCUUUUAUGGUGGGGUUCACCAUAAAAGAUACAGUGGACAGCAGGAAAUAGC
rnacentral:sRNA from 1 species